AGCAAAAUGAUGAAGUUUUGAUAUCUGAACUUGAUGUUGAUUUCUAAUGUAAUUGGUCUUCAAAGUUCUCUGAUUGCU